GGCGGGAUGGUUAAAGCACUGGAUUAAGAUUCAGGAGGUUUGGGUUCAAUUCCCAGUUCUGCCA
rnacentral:tRNA from 1 species